AUGUACAGAAUGCUCUGAAGGAUUGGGUAGAUUGACAGAUCUCACACUUACCAUGUGGCAGAGCAGGGAUUUGCGCUCUGAACUCUCAGAGUCCCGAUGCUGAGCUCUUAACCAGGAAGAGCUUCCUUUCAGCAGGGAGCUGCCUCCCCUACGAUGAACCCAACUAACAGUGACACUAUAACUGUCUCAGACUGAUCUAACAGUGGGGAAACUUAUUAGCCUCCAGAUCCUGUGCUGGUGAAUCCAGGGCCUCAGCCAUGACAUCAGGGGCCCGUUCCAGCCUCAUCCAUGUGGCUGCAAACUGGCAGUCGCAAGCAUUGGGCCUCUUGCUUCCUUGUUCAUGUCCCAUCAGGGAAAGAGGGGGUAGACUUUCCUCCUCUCUCUCUCUAAAAUGUAUGAAAGAGGAGUUCCCAUUAUGGCUCAGCAGUAACAAAUCUGACCAGGAUCCAUGAGGAUGCAGAUUCAGUCCCUGGCUUUGCUCAGUGGGUUAAGGAUCUGGCAUUGCCAAGAGCUGUGGUGUAGCUUGCAGACGUGGCUCGGGUCCCACGUUGGUGUGGCUAGAGGUGUAGGCCAGCGGCUGUAGUUCCAGCUUGACUUCUAGCCUGGGAACUUCCUUAUGCCGAGGGUGCAGCCCUAAAAAAAAAAAAGACAAAAAUAAGAUAAAAUAAAAAGAAUGUUCUCCGAAGCCACCAGUAAAUCUCUCCUUCAAUCUCACUGGCCAGAAUUGGGUUAUGUGGCCACUCCUAAAAUGCAGGCUGGAUAUGAUUAACCUCAGACCUGUCAUCGAAGCUGGGUGUCAAGCCAAAGCCUUCAUGGCCUUUCCAGGAUGACAGAGAGGAGGUUCAAGUAUCGGGGCAUUGACCAUGAUCCACUAUGGGAAUGGUAACGCACUUAAAUACCCAUAAACGUGUGUGAGUGUAAAUCACCUUUUACUUAUAACAAGGAUUCAGGCCAGUCCAUAUAUUCUCCACUACUGAUACUUGUGAUCCAGUCUCUCUCUUUCUCUAGCUAAUAAAUGCUUUUAUUUCAUAACUGCAGUAUAGACAGAAUGAAGACAUUAUUUGUUCCUUGUUGUUUCCAGCUGGGACUUAGAAUCUGGCCAAUCGCUGGCCCAAACUCAUCUCUUAUAGACACUCAGCCCUGGAACUUUGCUAACCACGUUCCAUUACAUGUAGAGGUUCAUUUUACUUUUCAGUGUUGUUUUUAAACACAGCUUGUCUCCUUCUGACAGAGUUACUCUUGGUUUGGGGUAGGAUGAGGACAGGGCAGAAAAAAAUCUCACCAAAGCAUGACUUUUUCCGAGUGGACAGGCUUCCCAGAGCACUGUUUGUCAGGAUGCUGUGGGUUGCCAGCAACAGAAGCUCACAUUGAAACAGUUUACAGAAGAGGGGACCUAAAUAGAUACUGGAAUAUCUUGAAAAAGAUGCAACAAGGCCUCGGGAAGCAGUGAAAUGAGGGGCUCAAAUGGCAUCAGAAUGCCCCCUCUCUCACUGUGCUUCUCACGGAGCCCCUGCUCCAUCUUAUCCACCUGCAGACCGACUUCUUCCAUCUCUGACCCCGUUAUGGAAGGGAGUGGGGUUGCCGAGAACAAUCCUUCCCCCGCCCCAAUGUUGGAUAUUCUUUCGCAGUUUUAAUUUCAAGGAUCCUUGGAGGGUCUAGAAUGGGCUCCACGAGGCUCAAGUGCCCGUCCCCAGGCCUGCCGCCUGUGGUCAGGACUCACCUUGGACUUGCAGAGUGACUCCCUCGAUGACCAUGUAAAAGGUGGGAGAGAUGGGAGGACAAUCCCAGAGACUCUGUCAUAAUCAUCUUGUGCCCAAGAGGGAAUGAGGGGUGACAGGCGAAGAGAAGGGCAUUUUCCUUGUGAUUCCACGGACUUGACUCUGCCCAGCGUUUUCCAGGGAGACUUGUCUCUGUGACCUCACCCUUUCCUCCUGAGGAUUCUCUGAGGAUACUGCUAGAUCUUUCAGGAGAUGGUGGUUAACAGAGUUGGAUACAGGAACAUGGUCCAGUCCCUGCCCUCAAGAGACUCCAGACUGGUCAGUGAGACAGAUACGGACAGAACUCAACAGGGCUCCCAAGGACCUCAGCUGUUACACUCACUGUGUACCUUGCCAGUUACCUAGGCAUGGGCUUCUUGAGUUUUCUAGGCUGUGUCUAGACCUCCACCAGGCUCCGGACCCUAGUUCUUCUGACACUGCAUGGAUGUGGCAGGUAAGUGAUGGAAUAAACUUUCCUCCGUUCAGAAUGAGGGGAGUGCCAAAGAGCUGGCUGCUUUGAAGAGGGGAGAGCUUGGCUCUUUCCAACUGGAGGACUGGGAAAGUCAUCCCAGAUGUGGUACCACUGAGCUGUGUGGAGAGGGGUCUGCAGAUGGGGAGGAGGGAAGUCAAUGAGAAGCAGAAAGGUGGGACUCCAACUCCCCCUGGUACUUCUGUCCCUGGCCGGGGCUCUGACCACUUAGGAUACUCCCUAGAGCACAAUCUAAAUGAGAACAAUGAAAUCCGAGCUGUCCCAAGAAGUCAGCACCUGUUUGGUGUCCUGCACGCCUUUCAGGCCCUUUGUGUAUUUCUAAGUAGACAAUCUCAUUCAUUUUCACAACGGGCACUAAGAGACCAGGAGGGGAGGAUGGGCUUAGGAGGAGCCCUGGGCAGGAGUGUCUGAAAGCAGGUGGGAGGCAAGCCUCUGAGGUUUCAACCAGCCUCCCAGCCAUUUCUCCCAGCAACACACCAUGUGCCCCUGGGCAAGUCUUCUCCCUUUGCUGUGACCCAAGGUCUUCUUUAUAGCAAGAGGACAUGGGAUUCAGUUACCACUGCAGUACCUUCUAGCUCUAACAUCGCAUGCUCCCUACUGUGCCCUACAGGAAGUGCCCAGUUCCUAGGAAGGAUGGUGGUUGGCCUGAGUUCUUCAGCAAGUUGGAGAAGUUUCUGGAAGAUACACCCAUUGUGAGCAGUAGGAGGAUGAGAUCCGUGUUUUCAUGUUUACCACGGUGAGAGGUAGAUGCUCAGGGGAGAUGCUGAAUGAAUCAGUGCAAGUUUCCAGACUCCUGAGUUCGCACAUGCCAUGGAUUGAUGUGUCCCCUCCCUCCAGAUUCAUACCUUGAAAUCCUAACUCCCAAUGUGACAGUAUUAGAGGUGGCAUCUUGGGAGAGUAAUUAGGUCAUAAAGAUGGAGCCCUUAUGAAUGGGAUCGGUGCCCAAAUCAAAGGGACCCUCUUUCCACCGUGUGGAGGACACGAUGAGAAGACCAUGGUUGGCACGCUGGAAGGGGACCCUCGCCCAACCAUGCUUGCCCUCUGCAUCUCAAGCUUCCAGCCUUCAGAACUGUGAGAAAUACAUUUCUGUAGUUUAGAAGCCACCUGAUCGAGGUACUUUUUCAUAGCAGGCUGAGCCAGCUGAAACAUAUCGAUUCCAGCGCCUGCUGCCUUUCUGUUGAGCUUUCAGGGAGAAGCCCUUCACUUCCUCACCAGGACAAUCUGUUCCUCGGUGGGGAUUAAACACUGUUUUAUAAUUGAUAUCAUAACUGACCCUGGAGCGAGAAGUUGGGACUUACCUUCAAUCUCCCAUGAGGAUCUGGAGCCAGUGCAGCUCACAGGAGACGCAGGGCUGCAGUGCAGAGGAAACCAUUCAACGUGUGUAUGUGAAAAAACUUCCAAGCUAUGGGACAGCACAGCCCUCUGUGUUAAACACUCCUGCUGGAAGCCUUCCCUCUCCGCACUCGCAGAGCUGGUUCAAGCCCCAUGAGGGUUCUUGGCUCCGAUGCCCUUCCCCUCAGAGACACUGUCCCAACGGGGCUGUUCUUUCGUCAUUGCCCUCAGCACCCUCGACACUUGUCUGCCUCCAGUUGACCGAAGCUUCAUCCAACAAUGCCUGGCAUAUAGUGGGUCCUCGAUACAUACUUGUUGAGGAAAAGAAGGAAUUAAUGAUUGACUCUCCACCAGACAUAUCUGGGAAGACAUCAUAAUCACCAGAGCAGUAUUUGGAAUCCAUAAAGCCCCGCUGGCCUCUCGGACCUGGCGCUUCCCAGUGAGAAUCCUUGUCACUGUUUUGGAAGGUGAGAAAAAGACGUGGCGCAUACCCUGUCUGAGGUUCCUUGGCUUGCCAGCCCUCCGCCAUUCUGGUGGGUAAUAUUUUCAUCAGGGAAAUGUGGAAGGAAGAGCACCAGCCUCAAGUUAGGGCACUUGGGUUCAAGGCAGUGUUCACAGCCUGGCUCUUAGGAAAGCCCAUCAGUGUCUUCAGCCUCAAUACCACUGGGGUCACAAAACCCAUAUAAACUCCCUUGUAGCACUGUCAAGGGACAACUAGGAGGCGACUUACGAACAUGCCACUUGCUAUAAAGGAGUCACAGCCUUUGCUAAUUUUUUUUUUCUCCGUUUUGGCAGCACCAGCAGCAUAUGGAAAUUCCCGGGCCAGGGAUCGAACCCGAGCCACAGCUGCAACCUAUACCACAGUUUGUGGCAACACCAAAUCCUUAGCCCACUGAGGGAGGCCAGGGAUUGCACCUGCAUCCUCACAGACAUGGUGUGGGCUCUUAACUCUGAGCCACAAUGGGAACUCCCAAAGAUCCACAGCCCUAACCUCUAAGGUACUGACCCAUAAGCCGUAUUUGUAACCUUACCCACCGCCCUCCCAAGGAAGCUGCCAGGAGUGUGGGGCUGGAAAUCCCUGGUGAGAGUGAACAAACCUGAAAAUACCUGCAUGGCUCCUAGAAAGAGUCCUGAGCCUCAGGGUCUAAAGGAGGGCUUUGGCGAUUUGCAUACUGAUUUGCAUAUCCUUUGCUGGCCCUGGGAGGCUGGUGGCUGAUCCCUCCUCCUGCAGCCCUCCUCGGCCUCUACACCUCCCGACUGGAGCCCAGCCUGGAAAAAUGGUGGGUUGGGCCCCGCCUGCAUUCCCCCCCCCUCAACUCGCUGCCCCCACUGCCUUCCCCCACCUCCCGGAAGCUGGGAUGUGGGCAAAUGUCAUCGUGCAGAGAGCUCUAGGGCCACACUGCCUGAUGGAUGGCAGGCCUUAAGCGUGACUGAGCUUUCACAGCUAAAACCAUUAAAGGUUAUUCUCCUUUU
rnacentral:lncRNA from 1 species